rnacentral:misc_RNA from 1 species
GUAGGUGAACCUGCGGAAGGAUCAUUAACACCUCUGGCUACGUGAGAACAUUGGAACAGUUACAAUCGAGCGGUAGUUUCAUAUUCCCAGUCAGUGUCGGAAAGUGUCACUGAUUGUGCAAGGAUAGCGCUUCACGAUUCCUGUAGACCGUACACUCGGGCAGGCGCUAUGCCAAAGGGUCCAUAUGCCACCUAAUAACCCCACAGUUUAAUGUAAAGCUCAAUGUAAUACAUUUGGUAAAAAAAACCGAACAACUGUUAACAAUGGAUAUCUUGGUUCAG